GGGGAUGGCAGAGGGAAUCACCGCAGGAAGUCAGGGCAGGCAGGCAGAACCCAACAGACUCCCUGAGUUGAAGAGGCAGAGGUGAGAGUACAGGAGAGUUUGCAGGACACAGUACCAGGGAAGAGGAGGCUGCACAAAGGCAGAAGCCCAAAGAUCUGCAGAGAGUCCCUGUGGGAUGCCAAGGAAUGGUCUCCAAAGAUGGCUACAUCCUCAUCCUCAAAACCUGGGAACAGGUUACUUUCCAUAACAAAAGGGAAUUAAAGUUGCAGAGGGAAUUAAGGUUGCUUGUCAUAUGCCCUUAAAAUAGGGGGAUGAUCCUGGAUUAUCUGACCCCAGUUGGGUCAGAGAGGUGAGAGGAAGGAGAGGUUCGAAGUGUGAGAGGUGCUCAGCCACCAUGGCUGGCUUGGAGAUAGAGGAAGGGACAUGAGGAGGAAUACAGGCGGCCUUGGGAGGCCUGCCAUGUACAGCAAGCCAGGACAUGGGGAUCUCACAG
rnacentral:lncRNA from 1 species